rnacentral:misc_RNA from 1 species
GGAAAAGUUCAAGAUACAAAAACAGUACAUAAAUUGACGGAUAACUGAAUUUAUUUAGCCAUAUUAAAACGCAAAUCAUCAGUACAUAGGGCAAUUAACUCUAGAAAGAGGCAAGAAUAACCUCAACUACUGAUCAUAAACCUUCUCAAAGGCUAGCUGAUUGAGUAGGAAGAACAGCAUAAUCCACCACAACAGCACCAUCCAAAAACUCCUUAACCUUCUCUUUCUGCUCAUUCGCCAGCUCCGUUUGCGACUCCAAAGCUUCCAAUUCAUCCACUCCCUUGAAAACCGCAAUUGAAGCAAUCGAAAAACCUUUCGCCCUACCAGGAGAAAAAUUCUCCCCAACAGUCAACUGUUCAAUCCCAGAAAAUUUCUCUUUGAUUCCCCCAACCGCACUCAAAACUUGUGAUUUUUCAUUUUCCCCCAAAUUCUCCUUCAAUUUAAGAAACGUCAGCCUCAUCGCUGAACCAGGCGGCACACCAGUCGGACCAGAGAAUUCAAUCGGAACCCAAU